rnacentral:lncRNA from 1 species
GAAGUUCAACACCUAAAUAAAAAGAAGUUCUAGAAAAAUUGAAUAGGGAAAAUGAAGGAUCAACAAGUGUCAAAAAAUAAAAAAUAAAACAAGCAAAUUCUAUAGAACCUGAGUUUCCAGAUUAAACAGAUUUACCAGUACCCAGCAUAAUGAAUGAGAAGGCUCCUAGGAAGCACAUAUCAUGCAUUCUAAAAUGUAUAAAGAUAAGAUAAAGAAAAGAUUCUAAGAGAAAGAUAAAGAAGAUAAAGAUUCUAAGAGAAAAUUCAUCACCUACCAAGGAUCAAGAAUUACAAAGGUAUCAGAAGUCUCAAUGGCAACCCUGGAAGCUAGAAAAAACCAAGAAAAACCUGCAAAUUUCUGAAGGAAAUGAGUUCCAACCUAGAACACAAUACCCAACCAAAAGACCAAUCCAGCAUGAAGGUAGAGUAAAGGCACUAUUGGAAAUGCAAGUUCUCAAAAAGGUUAUAUCUUACAUCUCCUUUCUCAACAAAUCCAGUAAUACAGUCAGGCGCAGUGUUACAUGCCUGUAAUUCUAGGAACUAGGGAGGCUGAAGCAGGAGGAUCAUAAAUCAGAGGUCAACCUGGGCUAUUUAGCAAGACCCUGUCAAAAUAGAAAAUAAAAAUGGCUGGGAAUAUAAUUUAGUGAUAGAGCAACCCCUGGGUUUAAUCCCCUACCAAAAAAAAAAAAAUGUUAAAUCAAAUAAUCCAGCAAAAUAUGAGUCAGUUUAAGAAUAAUGAUAGUUACACUUCAAAUAGAACCUAUUGCAUGCUGGGCAUUCUUCUAACUGCCAUAGGAGUACUUAUGUGUGUGUAUAUACUCAUUUAAUUUAAUCCUCAUAGCAAUUAGCUGAGCUUUAUUCUUGUCAAGUGGGAGGUAAAUUCUGUGAACAGCAGAACUGGGAUUUUAAACCAGGCUAUCUGGCUUCAGGGUCCAGGUCCUUAAAGAGAAAAGAAAAUUUAACAUCCAUUCAUGAUUUCAAAAUUUUUUAAAUUCUCAACAAGCUAUGAGUAGAACUUUCUCAACUGAUACAAGGUCUCUAUGAAAAAUCUACAGCUAACAUCAUAUUUAGUGAAAAUUGGAUGUCUUAGGACCAGGAACAAGGCGGGAUAUCUGCUUUUGACACUUCUAUUCAGCACUGGACUGGAGAUGCUGCUCAGUGAAAUAAGACAAGAAAAAGAUUAAAUGGCAUAAGGAAAAUGAAGAAAUAAAACUAUCUUUUUUUUCUCAGAUGACAUACAUAUAAAAUCCAGAGAAUACUUAAAAAAAAAAAAAACUACAAGAACUAAUCAGUGGAAAAGGUUCCAGAUUACAAAGACAGUACAUUAGUAAGUAAAUUGUUACAAAGUCAAUAUACUAGUGCAAUUAUGUUUCUAUACUCUAAUAAUAAAGAAAUGGAAAAUUUUUUCUUUCAAAAUACCAUUUGUAAUAGCACCCUGCCCCCAAAAAGCCACAAGAUACUUAAGGGUAAAUUUAAUAACAUAUGUACAAGAUCGUUGUACCAAAAACUAGAAAACAUUCUUUGCAAACAAUUAAAGAAAGAUACCAUGUUCCUAGACUAGGAGACUCAAUGUUAAUGUUGCCUUUUUCUCCAAAUUGAUCUAUGGAUUUGAGGUAAUCCAAAUCAAAAUCCCAAUUGAAUAUGUUGUAGAAAUUGACAAGCAGAUCUAAAGUUCAUCUAGAAAUGGAAUGAAAGAAAUUCAGGAAAAAAAAAAAAGAGCAAAC